GUGUAUGAGGACAGAAGUUGUAGUGCGCGACUGAGUGACAACUUAGUGCUGAUUGAUACCAACGCUUUCAGCGAGAGUGCUGUACUUGACUGACAC